rnacentral:lncRNA from 10 species
GUGCUUUUUCCUUCCUCUCAAGAAGAUAAAUGGGCCCUUUUGGGAUUCUGGCCUGGCAGGAGUGGGCUGGUCUGAUGAGACUCAGGGAUUCAUGCUUAUGGAGGAAAGGACAUUGACAGAAGUGGAAAUGCCAUGGAUUUCUAGAGACAAGUGGAUGUGAUGUUGGGAUGGCUCUAACGAAGAAGCAAAAAUGAUAAAGCAGAAUGUUCAAGGCACUAAGAGUCAGAUCUCCCAGCUCUUCUCCAAUUUUGCCUGUGACUAGUCAUCUGUCUUUGGGGCAUCUAACAUUCAUUAUCAAAGGAAAGUUGUGAUGGACUGUCAUUUCCCCAGAGAUCAUUUUUCUGGUUGAGGAUGAGGUAUGUAUAUUAAUUCUUGCUCUCUUUUAUUCUUAAUAUAUUAGUUAAUUAAUUUAAUUUAAUUUCAGUGAAUGCUUAUUAUAUACAAGAUUCUUACUUAGAUACUGGAGCCAUGGAAGAAGACAAGCAUGGGUCCUGCCAUCUUACAAUGCAAAUUUAGGAAAACAAGUGAUACACACAAAGUGAUAGAACAGAUAGAAGGAGAAAUUCAAGAAGCUGUAAGACUGUUUAGAAGUGAUAUUUAGUUCAAAAUUGCACACUGAUAGCGUAUGUCCAAAUAUGAUUGAAAGAACCAUAUUAUUGCUGGAAAAUAAAAAAAAUCAUUAUCAUACAAAGAAGUUUAAGAAUUGAAUAAUUACUAAACAAUAGAAAAUAGAUGGGAUGAAAGUGGUAGAAUUAUCAAAAAAACAAGCCAAAGAGAAUAGAUACUAAUAGAUACUGAGCACCAUGUACGAUGUAUUGUCACUUAAUGCUUAAUGAAGUAGAUAUAAUUUUUUUAACUUAGUCUUUUAAAUAAGUCAACAGUUCCAUGAUAACAUGUCUGAAGUCACACAACAGAAGUCGAGAAGCUGUGCUAGCAAACCAAGUAGCUUGGCUCCACAGCCCACGCUCCUAACCAGUGAAUUUUGCUGGCUCCUGAGGUAAAUGAAAGCAAAAAUGUAAACAAUUAUACUCCAUGGAAAAAUGCAGAUUUCAAAUUCUACAAACAAAAGGAGGAGGAAUUUCUUUCAAGGUUUCUACUUUGGCAAUUCAGUAGGUAAUUGUGCCAGUUAAUAAAAUAAAAUCUCUGGAAGACAUAUGUGGAUUUGGUGGGGUUGUUUCUUGGUUUUGUUUUUGUUCUUGAUCAGGAAGAGACUCUAGGGUGUUUUGGCCAAUGACUGCAAAAUUGAAAUAAUAAUAAUUUAAUAAUGUAUAGUUUUUAUUAUAGUAAAUAUAUAAUCUUUGAGCUAAUUAUAAUAACUAUUGCUGUUGCAUUAUUUAUAAUAUGGAAAAGCUAAGUGGAGGCUAUUUAAGGAAGGGCUUAUCGCUAUAUCUAGAAUAGUUUAUAAGAAAAGAUACAGGUUUAAAAGUAUUAUUUAUUUUACUAACACUUUAGUGAAUAAUCAAAAUGUUGUUUCUUCUGUAAAUUAUGUUAGAUUCUAUUGUAUUACCUUUGUGAUAUACAUAGUACCUGGAAUACAGUAAUUGCACAAUAGAACACUUAAACAAUAAAUACAUUUACUAUAAUAUAUAUUCAUUUAAAGAAUAUAUAAGUAGAGACCAGAAGUCAGAUUUUCUAGAUUCUGUUGUGUGUGUUCUCUCUGUCUCUUUCCUGAAACAGGAGAUGAAAUACAGCACUGGUUAAAAAACUCAAAAAAAAAACAAAAAAACACCUCUACCAUCACCAAAUGAACCAUGUUUCUAAAUUAUUAGCGCAAUAUGAGCUGUUUAAACUUUAUUUAAGUUACUGAAACUUCGCAGUAAUACUUUUUUAAAAAUAUUGAGUAACUUUUGAAGAAUUCAAAGAUUUGGGGCUUUGACAUCUGAACGUGUGUGUGUGUGUGUGAGAGAGAGAGACACACACACACACACACAAACACAUACUCAAACUUACAUCCUCUUGACAUUUUCAAAUGUCAUUUUGAUAUAUUAAAUGCUAUUAUACAAUGAUAAAAAAUCUGCUCCCCACCCCCAGGAAAUGUACUUCAGGGAGCCUGAAUAACAUUUUGGCUGAAAAUACUCAAGAUGAGCCAAGUACAAUGAAAAUAGCUUGAAACUAGCAGGAAGUGUGACAGAGAAUUCCUUUGCUGUGUUUCCAAUGCUCCAUUUUAUUUUAAAUUGGCUAUUUUUUUCCUUUGGCAGAGAGGAUGGAAAACAUACCUCUAAGAAGAAAAUAUUCAGACUGUUAUAACUAUAUUAAUUUUGUUUUCUUAUACAUUGUGAAGACCAUGUGAUUCAAUUUUAAAUAACCUGAAGGAAAAAACAAGUUGUAUUAAGAUUCUCAGUUUCUUGAGCAAUGCAUUUAUAUGGUUUGAGCUUUUUGAAAUGUUAUGUAAGUAAUGCUUCAAAUCAUCUCCCUUCCCCCCUGCCAGUGUUUUAGAAUAUCCUAAGUUGAUGCUAAAUUAUUAAGAUAUUUAAGAAGUCUUCAUUCUUUCCACAAAUUUUCACAGGUAAUAUAAUUUUUCCCUGACCCAAAUGAAAAGCAAAUCAAAAACAUGUUCUUUUCAUAAUAUCUUUAACCAAUAUCUUUAAUUGAGGGAGUAAUGGAAAUGAAGUAGUGAGAAUGAAGUAAUACAAGAAAAUGACAAAUAAGAGUGUUGUCAUUCAGGCUUUAUCACAAAUACAGCCAGUUGUUAAGUCUUUGCCUCCCACUUAUGAUAGUUCAUUACCUGAUAUGGGUCCCAGUGUAGGUAGAGGUAAUUUUUAAGACAACUAUAGUUAAAGGGAAUAUUAAAGGGGUCUAAAUGUUGUCAGUGUAGCUACAUUUCACUUGAAGUGGUAAAUAUUCAAAUGUCUAUCUUCUGUUUGUUGCCAUCAUCUUUGUUUCCUUUAGACUUUUUUAAAAUCGAGGUUUCUUUAACUCCACAUUGCCAAUAUUUCUCAAUUAUCUUUAAUUUAUCCUGAAGAUUUUUUAUGAGAGAAUUAAUACAAAGCCACCAUUCGUGUGAGCAUUGCUUUUUAAAUAAAAUAUGCAUACUAUUUCCCAGUAAUGUAAAGUUUAAUAUAUUAUUUUGGUGAUUUAGAAAUCUGAAGGAAUGAAGCAUUCUGGUGAGGUUUAAAAAUGAGUCCAUUUAUAAAUUUGCAGUCCUUAUUUCUAAAACUCUUUAAGAAUACAAGUCAUAUUUCUUCUAUAGUAGAUGUGUAAUGAAUUAAAUUCAAUCCUUGUAAUAUUAAUUGAAAACCUCUAGAGAUUUAAAAUGAAAAAUAUAUUCUAACUUUUUACUCUUGAUAGAUUAGAAAUAUUUUAAAAAAGCAUUGUCAACUAAUGUGCAUGCACAUCCCUCCUCCAAAAGUUUGCUUUCUUAUUUGCAUAUUUUUCUUAGGCAUGAAGUACCAGUGAAGAACUGUCGAAUUCUCCUUUGUGAGAUCAAUACAAGAAAAAGGAGUGUAUUCAGUUCUUACCAAAAACGCACGCGCGCACGCACACACACGAGAAAACAAACAACAACAAAAAACAGAACAAAACAACAGCAGCAACAAAAGGUACCAUGUUACAUAAACCAAUUUGGAAAUAGGCAAUUUAAAUUUUAUUUUAUUUUAAUGCCACAGUAUCUUCAGUUAAGCUGAUCAAAUAAUAAAUGGAGUUAAACACAGU